rnacentral:rRNA from 1 species
GUUAAGCGACUAAGCGUACACGGUGGAUGCCCUGGCAGUCAGAGGCGAUGAAGGACGUGCUAAUCUGCGAUAAGCGUCGGUAAGGUGAUAUGAACCGUUAUAACCGGCGAUUUCCGAAUGGGGAAACCCAGUGUGUUUCGACACACUAUCAUUAACUGAAUCCAUAGGUUAAUGAGGCGAACCGGGGGAACUGAAACAUCUAAGUACCCCGAGGAAAAGAAAUCAACCGAGAUUCCCCCAGUAGCGGCGAGCGAACGGGGAGCAGCCCAGAGCCUGAAUCAGUGUGUGUGUUAGUGGAAGCGUCUGGAAAGGCGCGCGAUACAGGGUGACAGCCCCGUACACAAAAAUGCACAUAUUGUGAGCUCGAUGAGUAGGGCGGGACACGUGGUAUCCUGUCUGAAUAUGGGGGGACCAUCCUCCAAGGCUAAAUACUCCUGACUGACCGAUAGUGAACCAGUACCGUGAGGGAAAGGCGAAAAGAACCCCGGCGAGGGGAGUGAAAAAGAACCUGAAACCGUGUACGUACAAGCAGUGGGAGCACGCUUAGGCGUGUGACUGCGUACCUUUUGUAUAAUGGGUCAGCGACUUAUAUUCUGUAGCAAGGUUAACCGAAUAGGGGAGCCGAAGGGAAACCGAGUCUUAACUGGGCGUUAAGUUGCAGGGUAUAGACCCGAAACCCGGUGAUCUAGCCAUGGGCAGGUUGAAGGUUGGGUAACACUAACUGGAGGACCGAACCGACUAAUGUUGAAAAAUUAGCGGAUGACUUGUGGCUGGGGGUGAAAGGCCAAUCAAACCGGGAGAUAGCUGGUUCUCCCCGAAAGCUAUUUAGGUAGCGCCUCGUGAAUUCAUCUCCGGGGGUAGAGCACUGUUUCGGCAAGGGGGUCAUCCCGACUUACCAACCCGAUGCAAACUACGAAUACCGGAGAAUGUUAUCACGGGAGACACACGGCGGGUGCUAACGUCCGUCGUGAAGAGGGAAACAACCCAGACCGCCAGCUAAGGUCCCAAAGUCAUGGUUAAGUGGGAAACGAUGUGGGAAGGCCCAGACAGCCAGGAUGUUGGCUUAGAAGCAGCCAUCAUUUAAAGAAAGCGUAAUAGCUCACUGGUCGAGUCGGCCUGCGCGGAAGAUGUAACGGGGCUAAACCAUGCACCGAAGCUGCGGCAGCGACGCUUAUGCGUUGUUGGGUAGGGGAGCGUUCUGUAAGCCUGUGAAGGUGUGCUGUGAGGCAUGCUGGAGGUAUCAGAAGUGCGAAUGCUGACAUAAGUAACGAUAAAGCGGGUGAAAAGCCCGCUCGCCGGAAGACCAAGGGUUCCUGUCCAACGUUAAUCGGGGCAGGGUGAGUCGACCCCUAAGGCGAGGCCGAAAGGCGUAGUCGAUGGGAAACAGGUUAAUAUUCCUGUACUUGGUGUUACUGCGAAGGGGGGACGGAGAAGGCUAUGUUGGCCGGGCGACGGUUGUCCCGGUUUAAGCGUGUAGGCUGGUUUUCCAGGCAAAUCCGGAAAAUCAAGGCUGAGGCGUGAUGACGAGGCACUACGGUGCUGAAGCAACAAAUGCCCUGCUUCCAGGAAAAGCCUCUAAGCAUCAGGUAACAUCAAAUCGUACCCCAAACCGACACAGGUGGUCAGGUAGAGAAUACCAAGGCGCUUGAGAGAACUCGGGUGAAGGAACUAGGCAAAAUGGUGCCGUAACUUCGGGAGAAGGCACGCUGAUAUGUAGGUGAAGUCCCUCGCGGAUGGAGCUGAAAUCAGUCGAAGAUACCAGCUGGCUGCAACUGUUUAUUAAAAACACAGCACUGUGCAAACACGAAAGUGGACGUAUACGGUGUGACGCCUGCCCGGUGCCGGAAGGUUAAUUGAUGGGGUCAGCGCAAGCGAAGCUCUUGAUCGAAGCCCCGGUAAACGGCGGCCGUAACUAUAACGGUCCUAAGGUAGCGAAAUUCCUUGUCGGGUAAGUUCCGACCUGCACGAAUGGCGUAAUGAUGGCCAGGCUGUCUCCACCCGAGACUCAGUGAAAUUGAACUCGCUGUGAAGAUGCAGUGUACCCGCGGCAAGACGGAAAGACCCCGUGAACCUUUACUAUAGCUUGACACUGAACAUUGAGCCUUGAUGUGUAGGAUAGGUGGGAGGCUUUGAAGUGUGG